CUACGGGUGGCAGCAGUGGGGAAUAAUGGACAAUGGGGGAAACCCUGAUACAGCAAUGCCGCGUGUGUGAAGAAGGCCUGCGGGUUGUAAAGCACUUUCGGUUGGGAGGACUGCUUCUAGCACUAAUAUUGUUGGAAGUUGACGUUACCUUCAGAAGAAGCACCGGCUAACUCCGUGCCAGCAGCCGCGGUAAUACGGAGGGUGCAAGCGUUAAUCGGAAUUACUGGGCGUAACGCGCGCGUAGGCGGCUAGAUCAGUCGGGUGUGAAAGCCCCGGGCUUAACCUGGGAACUGCAUCCGAUACUGUCUAGCUUGAGUACAGGAGAGGAGAGUGGAAUUCCACAUGUAGCGGUGAAAUGCGUAGAUAUGUGGAGGAACACCACCGGCGAAUGCAGCUCUCUGGCCUGAUGCUGACGCUGGAGUGCGAACGCGUGGCGAGCGAACAGGAUUAGAUACCCCAGUAGUC
rnacentral:rRNA from 1 species